UGUAUGACGGGUGCAGUAUCCUAGUUGAUACAUCUAUUAUGAAGACGAGCCUAAAAAUUCGUUAAAGAGCAUACCUGUGAAACUUUUGGUGCUUGCUUGUUUCGCCCAGAUUCGGGUGGGUGCUGAAAGGAUAGUUAUUUGGGAAGCUUAUAACGGCAUAUAAGUGUAACCCAUUUAGCGUAGAGACUUAAUCUUGUGCUUUACCGAUAAAAGUACGAAUUAAGAUUAAACCUAUAUCGAGGGGAAACCUUUGUAUAGAGUAGCUUGCCUUGAGUGAGUAUUAUGGGAUUAUAGAUAGUGUGUUUAAUUCAUGGCCAGAAUUAGGGAUACGGUUGACUAUAUGAAAUUGUACUUGCAAAAAAGACUAAUAAUAGAUAAAUAUCAGGGAGGAAAUCUUCUAGGCUGUAUGCUGAUAUAAGAUUGCAGUGCGUACUAAGUGGUAAUCAAGUCGUAUACUUAGGUAACGGUAUAUACGUUCAUUAAAAGGGAACUGCCUUGAGGUAACGAAAGGUUGAAUUGUGGGAAAUCCUACUUGACCUAUGACGCAAAGUUAAUUAUAUUGGUACCAAUCAUAUUUUUUU
rnacentral:sRNA from 1 species